rnacentral:rRNA from 1 species
GACGAACGCUGGCGGCGUGCUUAACACAUGCAAGUCGAACGGAAAGGCCCUGCUUUUGUUGGGUGCUCGAGUGGCGAACGGGUGAGUAACACGUGAGUAACCUGCCCUUGACUUUGGGAUAACUUCAGGAAACUGGGGCUAAUACCGGAUAGGAGCUCCUGCUGCAUGGUGGGGGUUGGAAAGUUUCGGCGGUUGGGGAUGGACUCGCGGCUUAUCAGCUUGUUUGUGGGGUAGUGGCUUACCAAGGGUUUGACGGGUAGCCGGCCUGAGAGGGUGACAGGCCACAAUGGGACUGAGAGACGGCACAGACUCCAACGGGAGGCAGCAGUGGGGAAUAUUGCAAAAUGGGCGGAAGCCUGAUGAAGAAACGCCGCGUGCGGGAUGACGGCCUUCGGGUUGUAAACCGAUUUAGCCGGUGACGAAGAGUGAGUGACGGUAAUGGGUAAAGAAGCACCGGCUAACUACGUG